rnacentral:rRNA from 1 species
GACAGAGGGUGCAAACGUUGUUCGGAAUUACUGGGCGUAAAGCGCGUGUAGGCGGCCCUGCAAGUCGGGUGUGAAAUCCCACGGCUCAACCGUGGAAGUGCAUUCGAAACUACAGGGCUAGAGUUCUGGAGAGGAAGGUGGAAUGCUUGGUGUAGAGGUGAAAUUCGUAGAUAUCGAGCGGAACACCGGUGGCGAAGGCGGCCUUCUGGACAGUAACUGACGCUGAGACGCGAAAGCGUGGGGAGCAAACAGG